rnacentral:rRNA from 1 species
AUUGAACGCUGGCGGCAUGCUUUACACAUGCAAGUCGAACGGUAACAGGUUAAGCUGACGAGUGGCGAACGGGUGAGUGAUGCAUCGGAACGUGCCCGAUCGUGGGGGAUAACGCAGCGAAAGCUGCGCUAAUACCGCAUACGAACUGAGGAUGAAAGCGGGGGACGGUAAGGCCUCGCGCGAUCGGAGCGGCCGAUGUCAGAUUAGGUAGUUGGUGGGGUAAAGGCUCACCAAGCCAACGAUCUGUAGCUGGUCUGAGAGGACGACCAGCAACACUGGGACUGAGACACGGCCCAGACUCCUACGGGGGGCAGCAGUGGGGAAUUUUGGACAAUGGGCGAAGGCCUGAUCGAGCAAUGCCGCGUGCAGGAAGAAGGCCUUCGGGUUGUAAACUGCUUUUGUACGGAGCGAAAAGGCUCUCUCUAAUACAGGGGGCUCAUGACGGUACCGUAAGAAUAAGCACCGGCUAACUACGUGCCAGCCGCCGCCGUAA